GGAAUAUUGGGCGUAAAGAGCUCGUAGGCGGUUUGUCGCGUCUGCCGUGAAAGUCCGAGGCUCAACUUCGGAUCUGCGGUGGGUACGGGCAGACUAGAGUGAUGUAGGGGAGACUGGAAUUCCUGGUGUAGCGGUGAAAUGCGCAGAUAUCAGGAGGAACACCGAUGGCGAAGGCAGGUCUCUGGGCAUCUACUGACGCUGAGGAGCGAAAGCAUGGGGAGCGAACAGGAUUAGAUACCCUAG
rnacentral:rRNA from 1 species